rnacentral:rRNA from 1 species
GAUGAACGCUGGCGGCGUGCCUAAUACAUGCAAAUCGAGCGAAUGGAUUAAGAGCCUGCUCUUAUGAAGUUAGCGGCGGACGGGUGAGUAACACGUGGGUAACCUGCCCAUAAGACUGGGAUAACUACGGGAAACCGGGGCUAAUACCGGAUAACAUUUUGAACCGCAUGGCUCGAAAUUGAAAGGCGGCUUCGGCUGUCACUUAUGGAUGGACCCGCGUCGCAUUAGCUAGUUGGUGAGGUAACGGCUCACCAAGGCAACGAUGCGUAGCCGACCUGAGAGGGUGAUCGGCCACACUGGGACUGAGACACGGCCCAGACUCCUACGGGAGGCAGCAGUAGGGAAUCUUCCGCAAUGGACGAAAGUCUGACGGAGCAACGCCGCGUGAGUGAUGAAGGCUUUCGGGUCGUAAAACUCUGUUGUUAGGGAAGAACAAGUGCUAGUUGAAUAAGCUGACACCUUGACGGUACCUAACCAGAAAGCCACGGCUAACUACGUGCCAGCCGCCGCAGUAA